rnacentral:misc_RNA from 1 species
AAGUCGUAACAAGGUUUCCGUAGGUGAACCUGCGGAAGGAUCAUUACUGAGUUACACUCAAACCCUGUUUAACAAUCUGUUGCUUCGGAGGCGCCCCUCGGGAGGGGAUCUGCUUCGGCCGCCUCCAACAGCACUUUUACUCUUCAACCUUGUCUUCAAUUUGAAUAAAAUAAAAAAUCAAAACCUCAACAACGGAUCUCUUGGUUACA